rnacentral:rRNA from 1 species
AUUGAACGCUGGCGGCGUGCUUAACACAUGCAAGUCGAUCGGUAACAGGUGUAGCAAUACAUGCUGACGAGAGGCGGACGGGUGAGGAAUAUUUGGGAAUCUGCCCAUCAGCGGGGGACAACCCGGGGAAACUCGGGCUAAUACCGCAUACGCUCUACGGAGGAAAGCCGGGGACCGCAAGGCCUGGCACUGAUGGAUGAGCCCAAAUCGGAUUAGCUAGUUGGCGGGGUAACGGCCCACCAAGGCGACGAUCCGUAGCUGGUCUGAGAGGACGGUCAGCUACACCGGAACUGAGGAACGGUCCGGACUCCUACGGGAGGAAGCAGUGGGGAAUAUUGGACAAUGGGGGAAACCCUGAUCCAGCGACGCCGCGUGGGUGAAGAAGGCCUGCGGGUUGUAAAGCCCUUUCGGUAGGGAAGAAAUCUCUUGUCUUAACACGGCAAGGGUUUGACUUAACCUACAUAAGAAGCACCGGCUAACUCUGUGCCAGCCGCCGCAGUAACUC